CGACUACGCCCGACUCACUGCCCUCGUUCGCGGCCGCCUCCAUCCCUUCGCUGCCGCCGCUCCAUCCCUUCGCCGCCGCUAACGUGCCGGAUCUUGCCUCAGCCGCCGCCUCUCCGCCGUGAAAGAGAGGGCUCCCAAUCUCCGCCGGGGUCGACCAACAGCGCGACGCGCCACCAGAUCGGCGAUGCGCCGGGAUCGCCUCUCCGCCUCGGCGCUUGCGCUUCCAGAUCGAAGCCCACGACGGUGGCGUUCCCAGAUCGGCGACGCGCCACCAUACGUCACGGCUGACGGCCGUGUCCUCGGCAAGGAAGCGUUGCUUCGAGGUGGCGGCAACCAAGGCCUCCCGGAUCCCCGCCUCCUUCCUCACAUCUCCGGCGGCGACAACGACAAAUUCCGACACCACGAGGCCACCGGCACGAGGAGGAUGCGGCGGGAGGGGUUUCGGCGGCAGGAGCGACGGCGGCGACCGCGGGGGCAGGGGCUUCGGCGGGAGAAGCGAUGGCGGCUGCCGCAGCGGCAGGGGUGGCCGGGGAGGCAGGGGUGGCCGGGGAGGCAGAAAUCCCUGGUAUUCUCAUGGCUCACCCCGACCCCGGCUCUGGUUUUCCUCAUACCAGCCGCCGGCGACCGGACUCGCUUCCUUCCUUCGACUGGUCGAUUGGCUCCACCCUCCCCAGAAUCCCCACUCCCUUCGCCAACUCCUGCUCCAACACUGAUGCGCUGACACCGCCGCCUCCUGGUCGGCAUGCACGGCCGCACGCCCAGCAGUUACCGUGGCCGAUGGUGGAACAGCCCUGAGACCCUCCUUGUGUUGCAGUGCUUGCAGAAGAGGCAAGGCGCCCAGGGAGUCCUGAGAAGACACCCUCGCCGCUGACCUUGAGGUACAGGUCUGUCUCCAUGAGCUCGAGGAAGCCAUGGCCGAUGCAUCCAGCUGCGGAUGCCGCAUCUUUGUGGCCGCCACCCUCCCUCACCGCCCUACACAACCGGCUCCGCGGUCACCUCGUCGCCGCCGCCGGCCUUCAGUUUUGUGAACUCCAUUUGCAGAGGUAGCUUAAGUGCAAUUUCAUUUCAGGGAGAGUUGGCACAUAUUUUUCCUUUUGGGCUGAUACUUCAGACUUCAGUACACAUCAAUAUACUGAAGUACAACUUCAGGUUUUAGUUACGGUUUAUGCGCAUUGCCAUGCUCUAAACUUCUGAUCCAUGGAGACGUAACAUGUUUUGUACAGAAAUAAAUCAUCGUAAUAUAAUCUCAUGCAACUUGAUGUACUAUUCUUUGUUGUAUUGAGAAGCUGCAAAGCCCAAGCCUCGUGUAAAUAUAGGAGGGCAUCUCGGAAGAUAUGGGGUGAGUGAUCUACAUAAUUUUUGGGAUAAGUACAUGGUGUUUAACAUAAUUUACAUUUGUCUUUAUAGUAGUCCUCCUAAAUGUUUAUUGUUGAGUGUCUCAUUUCCAGCAUAUUAGUAGAGGAGCAUGCAAGUUUGGAUAGUUAUGUUUGUUGAUGGGAUUCAUUGUGCUGGUUAAAGUCAUAAUAUAUUAGCAGGUAUGGCAUGGGAUUCAUUGUUCUGGUAUGAUGAGAGUAGAUCAUUGUAUACAUUUCACCGUAUUGGAUUAUUUUGUGCCAAAUUCUUUAGUCAGGUACCUUCUUUCUCUUAAACCAUCUUCAUCUACGUGUUUUAUAUAUUUACAACUUCCAACUUAAUAGUAGAGAUUUAAUCUCAAUACUUGCUUGCAUGGUGUAAGAAUGUAGAAGUAUGUUUUAUUUUGGCUCCUACCUGUAGUCUAAAACUGGGUGUUCCAAGAAUUUGUUUUAGGCAUGGUCUUCUUUGCUACCUCCUCAUGGGCGAUCCUCAUUAUUUGUUCCUUGAUUCUCUAUGCAAGAAUCUUGCCUCAUGGUCGAAAACAUGUGGUCACAUAUUUUCGACAGGGAAUUAAUUUUAGCCAGAGCCAUUCGAUAAAUGAUCGGCCGAUUAGUAUAAUUUUCUAGCUUAAUACAUGUCAUGUAAGUAUGUUUUCCUUAAUGUGAUAGGUAAUGUAAAUUUUGUGGGUCUCUCAGUUGCUAUGAGCCUACUACAGUUAAUUGGAAAGCAUGAUUUCGAUGGUAAUGCAACAGAAACAGAACCUGAAGCAUUAGUUAAUUGGAUAGCAUGGUUCCCAAGGAAAAGCAAAUGAAACAGAACCUGGAAUAAUAGUUAAUUGGAUAGCAUGAUUCCGAUGGAAAUGCAAAAAAAAUAGAACCAAUAAUAAGAUAGAUAAGAUGUGACUGACACUAGCGUAGGGAGCACACGACGGCCGUCGUCCGCGCGGCCGACAUUGACACUGGUGUAGACAGUAGGCCACUGAAGAUCGUGUUGGUGAUGUAGUAUUUCCAUGAGCAUGCAUCAAAUAUCAAAUCUCUUUACCAGUCUCUUCUGCUGUCCACAUGGCUCCCCUUUUUCUGUACCACCACCUCAACUUGGUAGGACUUGAGAUUUACUUUGGUGUCUACCCCGUGCAGGAGAUGACUUUGUCGUACCCGACGUGCGGAAAUGCGAUGGUGUCUACCUUGAAGCUUGAAGAGUUCAUGAGGAAGUCUUGCUAGCAUCUAGAGUUGGAUGCCCUCACGAAGACUACUGUCAGUCAAUUUUCAUGACUGAUUUGCUUCUUUCCUCUAGCUGCACAAUAUGACAUAUUGCUUCUUAAUUCAACACUUACUGCUACGUAGUAAUAAGAGGAGAUUAUGGGACUUUGUUUCUCAAAUUGACACUCAAUAGUAGAAGAGGUUCAUACCUCGAACAGUUGAUCACAAAACUGCCGUAUCAUGGCUUCUAGCUUAUAUGUUACAUAGCAAGUGAGCAGCCUCUGUCCCCCCCCCCCCCCCCCCCCCCAAUAUCUAUUUUCUAGCUUGGAUUAGCUAAAAAAGAUGAUUCUGGUAUAUAUUCAUUGGCGCAAAAACUAGAAGCUCAAUGAUAUUUUUUUCUUUUCUUAUCACACACAUAUAUAUGUAGGAUUGUGCAGACAACUUGCAGCUUUAGAAUCAACAUCUGGUUGGUUCAUAAUUUUGUCAAGGAUUUGGGAACAUCGCAUUGACAUUUAGAUAUAUAUUUUUAGCAUUCUUCAAGGUCUUGAUUUAGUUUCUUUUUACACUGUAAAAUAAUAAAAAUAAAAAUAUGUUGUACAAUAGUAGUAUCGGGUAUGUAGUCAAAUUUAUUGAAAUCAAAAGAAAACAAGGAAAGGAGAGCCGAAGUUCAAGGCAUGUUCAACUCCAAUUAUUUGCUCUCUCAAUGGAGUGUUAGUCCUCUGAAUAUUUUUAUUCCUCUGAUCUCAAACAUCAUCCACGCAAGAGUGAAGCUUUGUCUGCCACCGCUCUUCAGUUCACGUCGUUGAUGUUGUGAGGACUGGCAGCUCUUCAGUUCACACCGUCAAUGUUGUGUGGACUGGCAGGAUUUCAAUGGGCAUGGAGGCUCCAGCCUAGGGCGAGGGCGUGGUGCGUUGAGAUGGCGGAGCUGCGUUGGUGGGAGGCGUCGAUGGCGGCGGCAACGCCAAUGUCCACCGGGAUCUCUAGCCGCAAAAGUUGGAAGAACAACUUGGGGAUGUCGUGCAGCUCCUGCGUGUAGUAGAUAAAUUGCCGCCCAGAUAAAUCACCGAGACACUACCAAGUGUGUCGUUCAUUGGGCCAGGAUAAAACAUCUUGAGGGUGCCUCAUGUGCGACUCUAGCUAUUGAAAGUCAAAGAACUUGACUACUUUCGGAGUUUGAUAAGGCUUUACAGUGAGUUCUCAUACUUUUACUGUUUUUUUUUCGAAACGGUUUUACUUUUGUUGUUAUUAAGCAGAUUCUGUCAAAGCAAUUGCUAUGUGUAUGCCAUUUUCAUGUUCUAUACGUGGCUGUUUUUCCAUGUUCUAGACAUGGAUAUGAUGAUUGGUCGAUGAAGCAAUUGAUUUCUAAUACCAGCAAUUUGGUUUCUGGAUAUUCUAAUACUGACAGUUUUGUUUCAUUGUCCAACGCUGAAUCUAUUCAUAUGGUGAUGGAUGCAGCAUAACCAUCAAUUGAAGUAGAUAAUAUGCAAGGCUAUUUACCAUUAUCCAGGUUUAUUUAACAUUUAGGUUUGUAGUAAUUUAUUCAACAUCCAGGUUUGUAGUGUUAACACUGAUUUAUUUAGUUUCAAAUUGGUACGUUUCAGUUGCAUAAAGGCAUAAACAUCUGUCAUUUCUGAAUAAGUUGUGGAUGAUUUCCCAGCUGUAAGUAUAUACGAAACACACAUUAUAUUUUAUUUCACUUGUUAUCUGCACAUGGCAAGUAAUUUGGAUAGGACAAGUUAAAGUACAUCUAUUCAACGGCGGUUUUUGUCAUGUGUUUUAAGUUUUCAUUAUUAGUAGCAGGGGUUUCUAUAGCUAGCCCGAUGAUGACCCCCACUUUAACUGACAUGAUGUCAAGCUCAAGGCUACCAGUGAAAAUCCAUAUAGCUCAUCGAGUCAUUUUUUGAUCACUAGCCCUAUUGUUAUCGUGUCAUUUUCAUGAUUGUCAAAUGCCUAACUGAUGCUUUAAUUAAUUCAUUGCCUCCAGUUCGUGUAGCAUGGUGGUAACAUAAUUUGGUCCAUUUUGUGAAUGAUGUGAACUUUGAGAGUAGCCACAGUACCAAAUCAUGUGUAGCUGGGUGUAGGGAGUCUGUCGAUUUUUUAUAUGCGAAUCACUGAUUGCUACGGUUAGGAAGAAUUUUCGUUCACCACCAAAGACCGACACGUGAUAACCAUUGCGCUUUCUUUCUGGAGCGCAAUAUUUACUUUUGUUAUCACUAUAUUCUUUAUAUUAUUAAUUUAAAGUUUUGCAGAAAUGUGUCUGGCUAUUUUGUUUUUCAUUUUAUGCUCUGGUGGAACGGUUAAGAAUUGGUCAAGCCGGUUUGCGCUAUGAGUUUUGUGUGUUACAUGUUUUAAGACCUUUAGCGUGAAAUUUUCAUACUAACUACAUGUAUUGUUUGUGCAGGAUGGGUAUGAAUUGAGGAAGCAUUUUUUAUUAUGCUUGCUAAAACAUCGUGGGAAUGAAGCUAGAGGAAACUUUCCUGAUAUUGUGAAAGAAUUUCUUAAGCACAUCAUCUAGAUAUUAAUAGUUUUGUAAUAGAUGUUCAGUUGGAACAUCGCUCAGUUUGUUACAUGGACAUGUCAUUAAUUUUUCUUUGUGUUAUCAAAUUACAUUGCAACAAUGGACUUCAGUUACUAAAUAAUUGUGUUUGUGUUAUAUUGUU